GAAGUUAGAGCUCAGUGGUAGAGCGUAUGCUUAGCGUGCACGAGGUCCUGGGUUCAAUCCCCGAGACUUCC
rnacentral:tRNA from 1 species